GUUAGAAUCCGAGGCAAAUUCGUACAUGAUCUACCUGGUGUAAUAUAACUCCAAAGGGAGGUGGAAAGGGUAUUGAUUGGGAGAGCUCCGUUUGAACGCAACAGUAUAUGUGUAAAGAUUGAAAAAGAGAGAGGGAAGAGUUGGGUACUUUUUGGGGAGGCUACAUUUUUUUGCCUUUUUUUUUUUUUGUUGGGGGGGGCGGCGCGCGCAGGCUGGGGUUGUUCUUGUUGGGUUUGAUAAAGGGUUGGCUUUAUAGCAU
rnacentral:misc_RNA from 1 species